AAUUUAACUGUGGAUUUAACUAAUAGAGUUGUGCCGUUUGUCUCUAACCAGGCACAGUAAUAAAACUUUGCUUGUCACCUGGAAGAAGAAUACAAAACAAGUGUUGUACUUUGUACUGCGUUUGUGUGUCAGCUGCCUGUAGUUUGUUUCCAGCAGAGUGGAAAAAUAACAGCUGAUCAUAAUGAAUGAACUGAAACCCAGUGAGUUCCACAGUAAAGGAGUCCAGUCAGCUGAACCUCAGUCACAAACAAUCAGAUUUAAGAUUUAAUGCAUCAGCAAUAACCCAAUAAUAAUAUAAAGAUAUCUGGGUGUUUCAUAUCUUGUCUGAGCAUGUUGUGUUUGUAGAAAUGAUAUACUGUUACAGCUUCUGCCGUGUUGCUUGUAGUGUGUGCACGUGUGUGCGCGUGCACGUGUGUGGCUGGUUUCUCCCUCUGCUUCACCUUCAGGCUCUCCAGGAUUGGAUAACUGAAUUAUUGACUGGAGCACCAGACCUUCUGGGAGAGCAUGCCAGCCUCCAGUCAAUCAUCCAAUCAGAAGCGGCCAUGGGAGGAGCCUCCUCUUCUGAUGGCCAACAAAGACGCCCUCCUGGAGUAUGCCCGCCUCUUUCCUGCUAUGGUGGCAGCAAUAGCAGGAAAGAGGACCACAGGCAUCGACGCUGAAGGUGGUCAGGUGGUGGGCUUCGGCGCAUACAGCUUCCUGACCUACAGGGAGCUGUACGAGACUGUGGACGAGGAGAUCAGCAGCUACAGGAAGUGGAUGAGACAGCUGCCUGUGAAGAAUGCAAACUCCUGACUUGCUCGGUUGAAGAGAUUCAUCCUCAGCAGGGACAAGGAGCAGCAGUCGGUCACUGCUGCUUCUCCAGCUGCCGCGUCCGCCUCCGCUGCCUCCGCUGCUUCUCCAGCUGCACCCUCCACUUCAACAUCAUCUUACCAGCAUCCUCGGCCGUCUUCAUCCACCCCGAGGAAGAGGAGGUUCAACGUCCUGUCAAGUUCCUCUGAGGAUGAAGACCAGAUGAUGUUUGAAGCUGCUGCUGCUGCUGAGCAGAUCAUCGCUGCAUCAGUAUCUCCACCUGCUGCAACAGGAGGAGCUCCAGCCACACCUCCACCUCCACCUGCUGCUUGUUACUCUGAAGGCAGCUGCAGUAGUUCACACAGAGGUGUGAAGACGACCGUCUCCGUCACUCUGCCGACAGCCCCGUUCUCUUCAAGGCUCCAGCCGAAGGCCCUGCAGGGGGCGGGCCUCCCUCUCAGGGACGUCAAAGGAGCUGACACCUGAUUGGAGAAGACGUGGAGAGAUGGAAGACCAGGUGAAGAGGGACGGGGCUCUGCGGGCCUGGAGAAGGGAGGAGGUCCAUAAAUGGAGGGCUGACAGGAAGUCCUACAUCCCUCCACCUGCACUGAGGUUCCAAAAACCCUUUUGGCCUCCUGUGCUGAAGAGGACAAGGAAGGAAAGGCCGUCUGCCCCGGUCGACCCGACUCCUCCCGUGUCUCCGGACCCGCAGCCAGGGAACUCCAGAGGCAACACUGCUGCCUCCCUGUGCACGGCCUGCGGGCAGCCCACCUCUGUCCCCGGACACUUUGUCCACAGGGACAAGACACAUUGCAGGUCCACCUCUGGCGGGCUCAGCCUGGAGGAGUGGAUCAGAAGAAAUGUGUCCAGGGCCACUCGGUGGAGGUGGAAGGCACAUGCGAAGGAGGCUGGCAAACCCAAGGUGAAGCAGCCUCGCAAACUUAAGACUUGCAGCCGCUGUCAGCAGAGGAUGCUGCGGGAGACGGGGCACAGCAACCACAAUGAGUCCAAGCAGACUUUUUGUCAGAACACUGACCCGCUUGGGAGGACAGUGGAGCAGUGGCUGACGGAGACGAGGGGUGGGGAAACAAAUGAAGACCUCUACCAGAGGAACUUACAAACGUGGGCCCGCAAAAAGGACAAGAAGGUAGAAAAAAGGGGGGACUCUGCCUCUGAGACCCACCAUACCCCUCCUCCUCCUCCUCGUUCUCCACAGCCAGGGACCUCCAGGGACAAAACUGCAGCCUCAGUGUGCGCUGAAAGGCCACCUCUGUCUCUGGGCACUUUGUCCACAGGGACAAAACAUACUGCAGGUCCACAUCCGGUGGGCUCACCCUGGAGGGCUGGAUGAAGAGCAAUGUGCCCAGAACCACCAGGUGGCGGUGGAAAGUUCAGCAGGAGGCCAGCCACCUCCAGGUCCCAACGCCUCGCAAGCAGAGGACCUGCAGGACCUGCAACCUGCGGAUGCUGAGGGCGACGGGCCACAGCAUGCACAAAGAAACAAAGAAGACAUUUUGCCAGGAAACCGACCCCUCGGGGAGGACAGUGGAGCAGUGGCUCACCGAGGGCCGUGGGGGGGUCACAACCAAGGACAUUUGAAAAGAUAGGGCCAGUACAAACUGCAGGGAGAACACAGAGGAAGAGGGCAUAUUUAAAAAAACUGUUUGAGUUAUUUUCAUUUCCUUGUGUUUGUUUGCGGUUGUUUCUAAUUGUUUCAAAUUUUACAUACAUUCCUUA